GUGAGGAAUAUUGCGCAAUGGAGGCAACUCUGACGCAGCCAUGCCGCGUGCAGGAAGAAGGCGCUACGCGUUGUAAACUGCUUUUAACCGGGAAGAAACCCCAGGACGUGUCCUGGGUUGACGGUACCGGAGGAAUAAGCACCGGCUAACUUCGUGCCAGCAGCCGCGGUAAUACGAAGGGUGCAAGCGUUAUCCGGAUUCAUUGGGUUUAAAGGGUGCGUAGGCGGAGCGUUAAGUCAGUGGUGAAAUCCUGCAGCUUAACUGUAGACUUGCCAUUGAUACUGGCGCUCUUGAGUGCGCUUGAAGUGGGCGGAAUGUGCCGUGUAGCUGUGAAAUGCUUAGAUAUGGCACAGAACACCAAUUGCGAAGGCAGCUCACUAAGGCGAUACUGACGCUGAGGCACGAAAGCGUGGGGAUCGAACAGGAUUAGAAACCCCGGUAGUCC
rnacentral:rRNA from 1 species